rnacentral:rRNA from 1 species
AGUUCGGAUUGUAGGCUGAAACUCGCCUACAUGAAGCUGGAGUUACUAGUAAUCGCAGAUCAGAAUGCUGCGGUGAAUGCGUUCCCGGGUCUUGUACACACCGCCGUCACACCACGGGAGUUGGAGACGACCGAAGCCGAUUAUCUAACCUAUUGGAAGAAGUCGUCGAAGGUGGAAUUAAUAACUGGGGUGAAGUCGUAACAAGGUAGCCGUAUCGGAAGGUGCGGCUGGAUCACCUCCUUUCUAAGGAGA